CAAAGCCUCAGGCCAGUCCCUGGAUGGCCUUCUGGACUGGACAGCAGAACGCUGCUGGCUCUGGGAAGAGGAUGCCUGGACACCCAUCCCCACAGCUUUCAGCCAAACCAGGUCUUAUUUCAAGCUGAGCUGGGGACAAUUCAAGCUGCGUUGGGAACAAGAUGACCUUUCACUUGCUAUGCCCAUCCUCUACAUCAGAAUCUUCCAGGAUGACCUCCUGUCUAUAGCCCAAGUACCUUCCGGGACAGAUCGACCCUCCACCCACACAAAAGCAGGAAGCGAGGCCUCCUGAGCUCAAGGCGUCACACCAGGCCGCUGGGGGCUCCAGAUGUGAGGCGGUGACUGCUUCUGUGGACAUGGCACACAGAGGGAAAAAACUCAUUAAGACUAAUUGGAGAGGAGGAAAUCCCACCUCGUGGAAAGAAAUGAUGUCUGCUCACUUCUAAAGGGAAGCAGCUCGGUGUCAUGCAUAGAUCCAACUAGACUCUGGUAUGAGUCCUGAAGCUGCCACUUGUCAUCUAACUCCGGGCAAGUUUUGUUAACCUUUCUGUCCAUUUCCUCAUUAUACUGCGUAAGGUCAUGAAGUUGUGAGCUGCCUACAGCCAGAAGGAAUGCAAGGUACCCCUUUGCAUGCUCCGCUCCUCCAAAAAGGCAUGGAAACAGCGAGGAGGGGUGCCCCAGGUAAAAGGGGAGCAGGCACCCCCAGAGCAGUUUGAAAUUAGCAGCAUUAUUUACACACUACUCACAAAGUGCUAAAUGCCUUUAACAUGUUUGUUUUCAGAAGCAAUUUAAACACAAGAUUCCUGUAAUUUUGUUUACGCUGUUCAUUCAUAGUCAGGCACGUCUUCUUGGGGAGACAGAGGUAAACUUGGGUUGAACUGUCACAAUCCGAGUGAGUGGAGAGGAGAGCCGCGAAUGACAUGGGGAGUGGACUUUAGGAGCUAGAGGGAGGACUGUGGUGGGUUCAAGCAGGUGGGGGCUCAGCCUGGAGUCUUACUAAGACCUGGGGACCACUGAAAUGCUCUCCCUGAUGGUGGAACUCCGCGCAACCCACACCCAGGCUUAGGAGGAUAGAAUGAGCCUUCAAGUACGAUCACACCUUCACUCACUGAGAGAGACCUUUAGUAGCAGGUGGUGCUGAAGAAUAAGGGGCAGGUCCCACCCAGAAGGGUGCAAAAGGAGGCACAGCAGGGAUGUUUUUAUACCCAGAUGUGUCUAAAAAAAAAAAAAAAGAUUGUUUCAGGACUUCUCUGGUAGUUCAGUAGUUAAGACUCUGCAUUGCCACUGCAGUGGGGCAAGAGUUCGAUCCCUGAUUGGGCAACUAACAUCCCACAUCUCCCUAGGACGCAAAGGCAAAAAAAUAAAGUUUCUUGAGGCCUUAGAGUCAGAAGGGAUAGAACAGGUUGCUGUUCUAUCUAGGUAUACAGAGAAAAACACACACCAAAGAUGGAGAUGGUUUAUUGAUCAUUAUAAUAAAAAA
rnacentral:lncRNA from 1 species